rnacentral:lncRNA from 1 species
AAUGUUCAGUCCCUUUGUGGCUUCCGACUGAUCGCAACAGGCAUGUGAAGGGCACUUCACUGCGCCUUCUCACACUCGGAGGAAGCUCGUGUUUCCCUGAGACAGAAGGAUAAUGCUCGCUCUACGCACCACCCUAUGCACAAGGGAUGAUGAAGUUCAGGUUAUAUGAGGACAGUACAAAGGUUGGCAGGUUGCAGAGUGGUCCAGGUGUGCAGGAAGAAGCAUGAAUCUCCUCCAUGGAAUGGGAGAAAAGGCUGUGGCACAAGCGUCCAUGUGAGCAUCCACCCAGCAAGGUGAUUAUCACCAAGGUCAAGCUGGAAAAAGUCUGCAGAAACAUAAUAUUAAAAAUGAAAAUCCUGCAACAGAAAGCCAAGUCUGGCCAAGU